GAUGAACGCUGGCGGCGUGCCUAAUACAUGCAAGUCGAGCGAACAGACGAGGAGCUUGCUUCUCUGACGUUAGCGGCGGACGGGUGAGUAACAAGUGGAUAACCUACCUAUAAGAAUGGGAUAACUUCGGGAAACCGGAGCUAAUACCGGAUAAUAUAUUGAACCGCAUGGUUCAAUAGUGAAAGACGGUUUUGCUGUCACUUAUAGAUGGAUCCGCGCCGCAUUAGCUAGUUGGUAAGGUAACGGCUUACCAAGGCAACGAUGCGUAGCCGACCUGAGAGGGAGAUCGGCCACACGGGAACUGAGACACGGUCCAGACUCCUACGGGAGGCAGCAGUAGGGAAUCUUCCGCAAUGGGCGAAAGCCUGACGGAGCAACGCCGCGUGAGUGAUGAAGGUCUUCGGAUCGUAAAACUCUGUUAUUAGGGAAGAACAAAUGUGUAAUUAACUGUGCACAUCUUGACGGUACCUAAUCAGAAAGCCACGGCUAACUACGUG
rnacentral:rRNA from 1 species